GAUGAAGAACGCAGCGAAAUGCGAUACUUGGUGUGAAUUGCAGAAUCCCGUGAACCAUCGAGUCUUUGAACGCAAGUUGCGCCCGAAGCCACUAGGCCGAGGGCACGCCUGCCUGGGCGUCACACGUCGUUGCCCCCCCCCCCAUCUACUCCUUCGGGAUUGCGGGGGGCGGAUGAUGGCCUCCCGUGCGCCUAGCCGCGCGGUGGGCAUAAAUACCAAGUCCUCGGCGACGCACGCCACGACAAUCGGUGGUUGCGAAACCUCGGUUGCCCGUCGUGUGCGUUCGUCGCGCAUCGAGGGCUCGAAAAAAUGCUCGGCUCCGGCUCGGCUUUCAACGCGACCCCAGGUCAGGCGGGGUUACCCGCUGAAUUUAAGCAUAUCAAUAAGCGGAGGA
rnacentral:misc_RNA from 1 species